rnacentral:pre_miRNA from 1 species
UUCCAAGAAACAUUCAACGCUGUCGGUGAGUUUGGGAUCUGAAAAAAACCACUGACCGUUGACUGUACCUUGGGG